AUGGGCGCGCGAACGCACCCGUAACUUACCGUUCGUGUGUAGUGUUGUCCCAUGGACGAGGAAAAAGCGAAAAAGAUGUAUAGUGGGACAAAUCGGGAACGAUUGUCAGGAAUUUCUAUACAUGUAUCCAAAAUGAUUCGAAUUUAUUAUUGGAAGUAUCUCGUUCCGUUUUCUAGAGACUAUAUAUUAUAUGAACAUUUAAUUUAAACUUUAUCAGUUACUGCUGUUGAUUCUAAAUAAUAUUGGUCCCAAGUGACGUUACCUCUCAGACUUCGAAAUCUCCGACUUUGCAAAUCCAUAAGAGUUUCAGACAGAGAAAUCCAUAUGAUGUAAUUUUGGAAAGUCGCGAAGAAGAGUUCUGAGAUCUUCGCCGGAUAUAUUUUAAUACGAUUUCAUCAAAUAUAUACCGACGGAAACGAGCUACAGGUGAAUCACACGAGAAAUAAAUCACCGGUUUCCGUCGAAGACUGCGUUCCGAUAUUCGGUACUGAAAAUAAGAUGAAUGAUAGAUUUUCAGUACUGACAGUGGAUACCGGAACGUAGCCUUAAGAAGAUCCGCUGUCAGCGGAAUGUAAUCUUAUAUUUGUUUGUGCGCAACGUAGAGAUAUGCUCACGACUAAGUGCGUGCAUGUGCGUCAUGAUGCGCGUCAUUAGGUAAAAACGCGACGGACGAGCGAUCUUCGUUCGAAUCCGCGCGGAAAUCAACAUGGAGGAUCCUCCGCGCGGGUGACAGAUCUCUUAUUAUUACUGAAACGUCGCUUGUUCGGGAACAGAUCUUUCCGAGCUACUGGAGCUACGGUAACAAAUGCACCGAUAAGAUGGCUGAUGGAAGGCUGGUCCGACCAGGCGCUGCAUCUAAAAGGUCUUUGAUAGAAGCCGGUGCUUAAUUCGCUCUUACGCGGGAUAACGAGGGAUAACGAGAGGUGCAACGGACGGACAACGUGUGUCCGAGGUACGCGCGCGCUAUUACAUUAAUAGCCGUCACAUUUGCACUACGCCUCGCACUAUGCGACCGGCUAUUAUGUCAAUAGCCGUCGAUAUAUUUACAUUACGAGAAUAUACGCGCUAUAGCUAUUAUAUCAAUAGCCGUCACAUUUUACACUAAAUGUACGUCUGGUCUAAGCAAUACUCAUUGACAUUGGUAUUGACAGUGCUUCGUCUCAUUGUCGGCUUGCAUUGUUCGGCGUAGAGACGUCUCUCUUCAUCGUCGUCGUUGUCGUAGAAUAGCUGGCGAUUAAGCUGCCGUCACUAUCAAUUGAACGGUGUGACAGCAUCGAGAUAAGAAAAUCGCACGAUCUUCGAGCGGUCUCACGGAGGAUCGAGCUCUAUUUCAACUCGUGUUUACGACGGAAAGCUGACAUCACGAAGAAUGAGACGCGAUUGAGAAGGAAGGCUCGCGUUCAUAAUAUAGUUGUAAUAAUACUGAUAAAAAUAUGACGCGUGCGUAUUUAAAGCUGCAAAGGUGAUUUGGAAACACUUGAAAUUCACUGAUAAACGUAUAGCGUAUAAAACAUGCGUUACGUCGGUAUCGCGAUAAAAAACGAAGUAUCGAUACAAAGUUCGCAAGGCUUCGGCCACUUACUCUCAUCUUGACAGUUUGUUUUUUCUCAAAUACAAAGAAGAUACCACGUAGCGUGUUAAUUUCAUGUAUGUUCUUUAAACGUACGUAACGUUUCACAAUCGUAUUACAUACGUUUAAAGAACGUAUACGAAACUAACUAUACUGCCGGGGAUAUAUUCCCUUGAUUAUAACGGCAAUUUGCUUAAUUUAUUUACCACGGAUUUUAUUUUGAUGCAAAUUAAUCAAUUUAAUUCGAUAAAGCUCUGCUUUCCUCGUACUUCAUGUCAGACAUUUCGGAUUCUUCGAAGAAUAUUUUACCAUUAAUAACUAUUAGCACGGGAGAUUUUGUCAACUUUCCCGUGUGAUCCGUUUAAACAGAGUCUUUACUUUUUUCGAGAGUGGCGCGGACUUCACGCUGUUGCGCAUGUGUUGCGAAUCUGCAUUGAAAAUACUUCGUGUUCAGGUUGGUGGCGCGAAAACGGACGGCUAACUCGAAUGGGAAAGGUCGGUGCGAGUGCAACUGCACCCGACAUGUCUGUCUAACGUAGCGGCGGAGAGCAGAUAGUUAGACGCGUUAGGUGCCGCGCUGCUCCAAAUGCAGCCAUGCGUUAUCGCGUACACGCUACUUUCCUUUCGAACAGCACGGCCUUUUGCUUUCUUCGCGACUCGCCGCGGGACGACAGGGUGGUUGGGCCCCCGCACACAUGCAUUCAGGACCGACUGUGGGAAUUUUCGUGCCCCGCGUACUUCGAGUUCGCAAAAAUGCUCGUCCGGUGCGUCCCCGAAUUCUAAUAGCGUCGCGACGUCACCGGACGUCAAAUGUUGGAAACAAUACAUGGCCAGCGCACGUGGUAAUAUUUACGAGAUACACGUAAGGUUAUUUUCGCCGGACGGCUUAAAGGCCGAGACGUCGCGAACCAGUCGAGCGCCGACAACUUCCUGGAAUGUUCCACGCUUUCUACCUGCGCGUCAAAACGACGAGCUAAGAACGCGUUUAACACCCGGCAAAUGGCAUACGCAUUUACUGGUACGUCAUCGAUGAGUACUGUAGCGCAGAAAUGACAUAGAUGAUGUGUACCAAGCUGGGGCUUCCUCAUCAUUUCUGCUCUUUAGUACUUUCGUUUUUUUUUAUUUUCAAUUGAUCACCUACUUAGUAUCUUUCCGUUGCAAGUACAAUUAUUGUUUCAGCACUACCGGCAAAAAUAUUGCUCAAUGUUUAUAUAUCGACGUUUCGAAGCGUCGUCCGUGCUUGCACUGGCGGUCAUCACGCGAAUAUCAAAGCGACUUGACCCUGCGCCAAGUGCAACGAAGUGACGGAUCGACGCAAGGGCGGUCUGUGAACUGUCCUGCAAGCACUUGCGGCUUACAUCAAUUUGUACGGAUUAUUUUUAAGAAUUUAGCUUGUUAUCGAAUUGAUAUUGUUAUGAUGGAUUAUCGUUAUUUUUUACACGCUUUUACACGCGUCGCUGCUCCCUAUGUAUUUUCUGCCUUAGAAAGUUGUGUCUGUUUCUGAUAUCGCUUGAGUUGAAAAAUGGAAAUAAUAAUAUAUUACGUAGAUGUAAUUGUCAAGGUUAAUGCGUAGAUUUGACUGUGUCGCUUUCCUUUCGUUAACGAUUUAUCGAAAGUAAUAACAUAAAUAAUAGUUUAAGAUCGGAUUCAGGAUGAUAUUCUUACUUGACAAUUUUGCGGGAACAUGUAUUGUCAAGUGAUAGAAAUUAUUCUAGAUUUUGGGAUACUUACACAAACCAAUAUAUAAGCAUGAUAAAACAUUUUGAAGAAAAAUCUUAACUAAAACACUGAUGCUUAUUUUCCAAUUAAGGACGAAAAAUAUGUUUGUUUUCAGGUGUGCUCAGAGAAGUCUUCUUAGAAAAAAAUUAUAACAAAGCGUCGCUUAUCGUCUAGUUCUUCGAUCCGAGGUUUCGCACAUUUCGCCCAGCAUUUCGGAGCGCAAAAGGACUAUUCUUAUCGCGAUGCGUCAUUCUUCCAACUAAAACGACAAUACAAAUAACGUAACACACGUUAAAACAACACGAAAUGACAUGUUCUCCCUCUUCUUCUGUUUCCCCGUCUUUCGUGCUCCCUCUCUCGAGAAUUAUAUUGAAUUCAUUGAAAUCUACGUUCGUCAGUCACGAAAGCGACUCGUGAAUUACUGAGGACAUUCCCUCCCAGGCGUGUAACAGCAAGUCACGUGCAGUACCUUAAGUGAAAUAACGUAGUGUUGCUUGUUGUAGCGAAAAGAAAGAAACACUGGCGAACGAAAGAAGGGAGCAAAAAGCUUGGGAAGAAGGAGAAACAAAGGAAGAAAAUUCUAAAGAGAGAAUAAGGAAAAUUCUAAGUAUGUUUAUAGAAGUAACUUGCAUCAUAAGCAAAGCAAUCGGUCAGCCAGCCGUAUAUAGAGUACCCCAAGCCCGCCGAUGCCUUUUUACCGAUUUUGGAAAGAGUGGUUGCGCUUGAUACUUGCAGCAUACAGAUUCCAGAAUCGAAAUGUGGGAUUCGACGAAGAAGCCGAAGUAUGUGUCACCAAUGCGGAUCCCUUUUUCGCCCGUUCCUCGUUACGCCGUUGUUUCCCCCCACUUCCUCCGAUUGCUUUCGUUGACGACAUCGUGGACGGCUGGAAACGCCGACGUAAGAAUGGGAGCACGUCCGUGUAUAUGCAUUCGUGCAUGAAUUAAUGUCGCACAUGCCGAUGUCGAGAGCGGUGGAUAACGGGCGGCGCGACACGUGAUUCGCACGGCGCGUAAUGUGCGCGGUAACGUGACUAGGUCUAUGCGCGUUUGUCUUUCUUCGUGGCUCGCGCUCCAACGAAUCCGAGACGAUCGCGAAGAUGCGCGUCGCCGAUAUGACUCAGUUUAUCAAUGCUUCGCUUAUCGCGGCAAGUUGUUAUGACGUUGACUGACACGACGGAAAUUUACCUUCAAUUUAUCAUCGACGCGUCUAGAUUGAUUUGUUAUUGGCGAAUUAACGCUAAACACACAACGAUCAGUAGUGGAAUUCAGAUAGGAAUAAAAAUGCGCGUCGAAGAAUUGAUCGCGGUGAGAAAUAUCUGUGUUAUGUUCCGGCUUGACGACUUGUAAGAACGAUGUAAUAAUUUGUACACAUUGCGGUUUUCAUCACAACAAUUGCACAUUGUUUCUUUCCUUUUUUAUGAACUUCUGAAUGUACGAAAUCUCGAGUUACAUAAACCCCUAAGUAUCUCCCA